rnacentral:lncRNA from 1 species
GAAAGAUUAUUUUGAAUGUUACAGGAGUACAGAAGUACAGGACAGUAUUGGCCAAGAGCUGUGCCAAAAUACAGCGCAUCCAGAAAGUAUUCAGACCCCUUGACAUUUCACAUUUUGUUACAUUACAGCAUUAUUCUUAAAUGUAUUAAAUUGUUUUUUUCCCCUCACCAAUCUACACACAAUAUCCCAUAAUGACUAAGCAAAAACAGGGUUUAGAAAUUUUGGCAAAUUUAUCAAAAUAAAAAACCCGGAAAUAUCACAUUUACGUAAGUAUUUAGGCCCUUUACUAAGUACUUUGUUGAAGCACCUUUGGCAGCGAUUAAAGCCUCAAGUCUUCUUGGGUAUGACGCUACAAGCUUCGCACACCUGUAUUUGGGGAGUUUCUCCCAUUCAUCUCUGUAGAUCCUCUCAAUAUCUGUUAGGUUGGAUGCGGAGCGUUGGUGCACAGGUAUUUUCAGGUCUCUCCAGAGAUGUUUGAUCGGGUUUAAGUCCGGGCUCUGGCUAGGCCACUCAAGGACAUUCAGAGAUUGUUGCCAGAGCCACUCCUGCAUUGUCUUGGCUGUGUGCUUAGGGUCUUUGUCCUGUUGGAAGGUGAACCUUCACCCCAGUCUGAGGUCCUGAGCACUCUGGAGCAGGUUUUCAUCAAGGAUCUCUCUGUACUUUGCUCCGUUCAUCUUUCCCUUGAUCCUGACUAGUCUCCCAGUCCCUGCCGCUGAAAAACAGCUGCACAGUAUGAUGCUGCCACCACAAUGCUUCACUGUAGGGAUGGUGCCAGGUUUCCUCCAGAUGUGACGCUUGGUAUUCAGGCCAAAGAGUUCAAUCUUGGUUUCAUCAGACCAGAGAAUCUUGUUUCUCAUGGUCUGAGAGUCCUUUAGGUGCCUUUUGGUAAACUUAUGUGCCUUUUGCUGAGGAGUGGCUUCCGUCUGGCUACUCUACCAUAAAGGCCUGAUUGGUGUGCUGCAGAGAUCGUUGUCCUUCUGGAAGGUUCUCCCAUCUCCAAAGGGGAACUCUGCAGCACUUUCAGAGGGACAAUCAGGUUCCCUGACCAAGGCUCUUCUCCCCUGAUUGCCAGCUCUAGUGAGAGUGUUGGUGGUUCCAAACUUUAAGAAUGAUGGAGGCCACUGUGUUCUUGGGGACCUUCAAUGCUGCAGAAAUGUUUUGGUACCCUUCACCAGAUCUGUGCCUCGACACAAUCCUGAUUCGGAGCUCUACGGACAAUUCCUUCAACCUCAUGGCUCGGUUUCUGCUCUGACAUGCACUGUCAACUGUGGGAUCUUAUAUAGACAGGUGUGUGCCUUUCUAAAUCAUGUCCAAUCAAUUGAAUUUACAACACAGAUGGACUCCAAUCAAGUUGUAGAAACAUCUCAAGGAUGAUCAAUGAAACAGGAUGCACUUGAGCUCAAUUCCAAGUCUCAUAGCAAAGGGUCUGAAUACUUAUGUAAAUAAGGUAUUUCUGUUUUUUAUUUUUAAUACAUUUGCAAACAUUUCCCAAAAACGGUUUUGUCAUUAGGGGUUAUUGUGUGCAGAUUUAUGAGAAAAAAUGAUAAAUUUUAGAAUAAGGCUGCAAUGAAAAAGUCAAAAGGUCUGAAUACUUUCCGUAUGCACCGUAUAUCAUCAUCACAAGUCAUCCUCCCUUUAAUGUUUUUGCAUGAUCUGCAUGAUCCAGCAGUGUCUGAUUAAUGUGAAAUUCUCCCUAUUUUGUUCUUAUGUUUUUCAGAGAAGCAUUAACAACAUUGUGGCAGGGGUGCAGCAGUACCAGGGAUUACUCAACAACAACCUGAGGGAUCGGCUCAAAAUGUGAAAAGUUUGGAGCAGUUGUCUCACCUGAAAAUACUAGCCAGGAUUGAAGAUGGACCUCAGAAAUGCACCUAUGCAUUCUUAUAUGAAAUUGUAGAUCGGUACCUUAUAAGAUCAGACCCGUUGUUUUCCGUGAAACCCACUACUUUACAGAUCAUUUUCUAUACAGAUAAAAUGUAGUUGUGUAAUGCUUUAGGCUCAGUGUGGGGUUGAUGCAAUAUUCUAAAGAAUUCAUGAGGACUUGGUUCUAUUGUACAAUGGUGUUCAAAUUCAAACUGUCAAUAAGGAGAGAGAGAUAUAUGGUGCAUUUGUUUCUCUCUGCAGAGACACUUUAGCUCAACAUGAGCUGUGUGGAUUUAAAGAGUGGGUGGGAUUUGCAUUCAGCGAAUGUAGACAUUGUGAAUGUACUUUGACAAUAAGCAGAUGUAAUAUAAUGAGGAUUUUUUUAUGGAAAGGACAUUGGACAGACAUAUUCGACAAUGCUGUGAAAUUGAAAAGGCCAGCACUGACUUCUUAAGAAACAGACUUAACACAACAUAUGGUAUAAACAGAAAGAGCAAGCUAGUUGAAUUCCCUGUUUUUAAACUUAUACAGCAAACACCACAGGAUAUAAUCAUUCUUGAAGGCAUUGAUCCAUUAGAAAUUAAGUGUGUGUUGAAACACCUAGUUCUUUCAGGACAAUUGGACUUAGACACUUUAAAUGCUGCUCUCCUUGAUUUCCCCUACUCUCCCCUGGAUGUAAGAGCUAAACCAUGCCCUAUAACCUGCAGGACAUUGGCAUCAAAUUGUAAUAAAAUCAAGCAGUCCUCAGGGCAAAUGCUUUUUCUCCUUUAAAUAUUGCAAUUUUUAUCAGACACUGUUGAAGGAAAUUAAUAUAUUAAAGUUAUUUUGACAUUGAUAGAGAUGGUUCAGAUUAUCUUUGUACCUGUUAUUACUCUUCAAACUGUAUCAAAUUGGAAAUGUAUUAUUGAGUAGCAUUUGAAACAUGUGAAAGAGCUUUUCCCUGAAAACAAUAUUAUACCAAAUCAACAUUAUAUGAUUCAUGUUCCAUCUCAGAUUAAAUUAUUGGGAUAAAUUGGUCAGAGGUUUGAGUCCAAGCAUUGUUUUUUUUUUACCUUGGUCCUCAAACUUGACUUUCAGAAACGUCUAUAAGUCUUUGAUAAAACAUAAUCAAAUGUUUGAAUGUUGUCAGAAUGCUAAUGAGUUACACAACCCUAUUUUUCCAAUGAGCGGGAGUUGGGAC